rnacentral:tRNA from 1 species
GGGGUAUAGCUCAGUUGGGAGAGCGACAGGUUCGCAAUCUGUAGGUCGUCGGUUCGAUCCCGAUUACCUCC